GUGUUAGUUGCAGGGCAGCCUCUGGACCUGUGGCCUGGGCUGGUGGUCAUUGUGGUGGUGGUGGUGGUGCUGGUCCUCCUGUCUGCAGGGAUCCUGUGGCUUGUGCUGUCCAGGAAAAGAAAAGCCUUGCCCAGCAAAGCUGAGGAUGACCAUUAUACAGAGCUUCAGCCCUAUGAGAAUCUGGAUACUUACUGCAUGAUAAGAGAGACUCUUCUGGCAGUGGAAGACGCGGGUA